rnacentral:rRNA from 1 species
AACGAACGCNGGCGGCGUGCNAACACAUGCAAGUCGAACGGAGUGAAGGAGCUUGCUCUUUCAUUUAGUGGCGCACGGGUGAGUAACGCGUAGAUAAUCUGCCUUGGACUCUGGGAUAACAUCUCGAAAGGGGUGCUAAUACCGGAUAAGCCCACGAUGGCGUAAGUCAUUGCGGGAAAAGGGGGCCUCUGAAUAUGCUCCUGAUUCAAGAUGAGUCUGCGUACCAUUAGCUAGUUGGUAGGGUAAGAGCCUACCAAGGCGACGAUGGUUAGCUGGUCUGAGAGGAUGAUCAGCCACACUGGAACUGAGACACGGUCCAGACUCCUACGGGAGGCAGCAGUGGGGAAUUUUGCGCAAUGGGGGAAACCCUGACGCAGCAACGCCGCGUGAGUGAUGAAGGCUUUCGGGUCGUAAAGCUCUGUCUAGAGGGAAGAAAUGAUAGUCGGUUAAUACCCGGUUUUCUUGACGGUACCUCUGAAGGAAGCACCGGCUAACUCCGUGCCAGCAGCCGCGGUAAUACGGAGGGUGCAAGCGUUGUUCGGAUUUAUUGGGCGUAAAGCGCGUGUAGGCGGUUUGUUAAGUCUGAUGUGAAAGCCCUGGGCUCAACCUGGGAAGUGCAUUGGAAACUGGCAGACUUGAAUACGGGAGGGGGUAGUGGAAUUCCUAGUGUAGGAGUGAAAUCCGUAGAUAUUAGGAGGAACACCGGUGGCGAAGGCGGCUACCUGGACCGAUAUUGACGCUGAGACGCGAAAGCGUGGGGAGCAAACAGGAUUAGAUACCCUGGUAGUCCACGCCGUAAACGAUGAGUACUAGGUGUUGCGGGUAUUGACCCCUGCAGUGCCGCAGCUAACGCAUUAAGUAC